rnacentral:tRNA from 1 species
GUUCUAGUUCUUAUAGUUGAAAUACAACGAUGGUUUUUCAUACCGUUAGUCAUGGUUAGAUUCCAUGUGGGAAUG